rnacentral:rRNA from 1 species
AUGAACAAGUCCACUCCGGGGAACCGUGAGCUCCACACAUCUUCUGGUACUAAUGCAUCCUCUUUUGAUGUCUGUCAGAUUUGCAAUACUCCUGGCCAUUUUACUGCUAGAUGUCCGCAAGCUCUCUAUGAUCACUGUAAGAAGAGAGGUCAUUUAUAUGUUGUCUGCACUGAAUUCUUCCCAUGGGAGUGCACCCCUGCGAUGUGCGCCUUCCAGUCCAAAGGGCAAGGAUUCUUUUAUAUCCCUGACUUUGGUGUUGAUAGGCAACCUAGAGAGCGCAUUUUCAAUAUUGUUGUCACUAUUACUGAAGGGUCCGCUCAAACUAAAGAUAUUGAACAUGAGCUGAGCGUGUACGUUGGUCAGGGGUGGAGAUGCUCGGCUAGAUUCUUUGCUCCGCAGAAGUUUGUCAUGAGAAUGCCAAACCCUAGAGAGGUCGACAGAGCUCUUUUUGUUAAACAUGUUAGACUUAAACAAUGUGGAGUUAGUGUGAAAUUCUCCCCAUGGUCUGAGGAUAUCGACUCUGAGGAGCUCAUGGAAGUUGCGUGGGUAAGAAUUGGUAAAAUUCCCCCUAAUAAGAGAUCUGACAAGGUUGUUUCCUACAUGGGGGCACUGGUUGGGAUUACCUUGGAGGUGGACAUGUCAACUGUUAAUCGCCCCUCCUUUGUUAGAGCAAAAAUUGGGUGCAGAUCUUUAGCCCAACUCCCUGCUACUGCUGAAGGAGUGCUUGGGGGUCGUUUUUAUAAGUUCACAUAUGAAAUUGAAGAGGUUCUUGUUAAAAAAACCCUGUUGAGGAAGAACCUGUUGAUCCUGUUGUUGAUGACACAGCUAAACCUAAGUAUACUCCUAAAAGGAAACAUACUGAUCAAGAGAAAAAAGAGAGCCCACCUGAUAAGCAUCGAUCUGGAAAAAAUGAUAGCUCCUAUCGUGGAGGCAAGGCAUGUCGCCUGCUACCUACUGAUAAUGAGGAAAAUGAGGAAGAUGCUUCAUCUGAAAGUGGGGCAGAUACCUCCUUGCUUAUUGAAACAAUGCAGAGAGAGAUUGAUGAGUGUGCUGACAUGGAGAAACUAG